rnacentral:tRNA from 1 species
GGCUUCGUGGUGCAGUGGUUUCGCACCAGGCCGGUCCCGCCAGGACCACGGGUUCGAAUCCCGUCGAAACCA